rnacentral:sRNA from 1 species
UAAGCGUGAAGGAUAACGUUGCGCCAGCAACGGCCCGAAGGGCGAGCGAAGCGAGUCAUCCUGCACGACCCACCA